GACAAAUAAUUUGACUGAUCAGGAGUGGAUCGGACACGAGAGGUUACU
rnacentral:sRNA from 1 species